rnacentral:tRNA from 1 species
UCCCUGAUGGUCUAGUGGCUAAAGCUUCAAGCUCCCAAUGCAGUGGGCCCAGGUUCCAUCCCUGGUCAGGGAA